CCGAGUUAUACAACUCCCAAACCCGUGUGAACUUAUACCAAACCGUUGCUUCGGCGGGCUUUGACGCCCGGGACCGCACAGGACCUGGGCGCGCCCGCCGGAGGACCCAAACUCUUCUGUAUCUACGCUACGCAUGUCUGAGUGGAUUUAAUAUUAAUGAAUCA
rnacentral:misc_RNA from 1 species